AGUGAACGCUGGCGGUAGGCCUAACACAUGCAAGUCGAACGGCAGCACAGUAAGAGCUUGCUCUUACGGGUGGCGAGUGGCGGACGGGUGAGGAAUACAUCGGAAUCUACUUUUUCGUGGGGGAUAGCGUAGGGAAACUUACGCUAAUACCGCAUACGACCUACGGGUGAAAGCAGGGGAUCUUCGGACCUUGCGCGAUUGAAUGAGCCGAUGUCGGAUUAGCUAGUUGGCGGGGUAAAGGCCCACCAAGGCGACGAUCCGUAGCUGGUCUGAGAGGAUGAUCAGCCACACUGGAACUGAGACACGGUCCAGACUCCUACGGGAGGCAGCAGUGGGGAAUAUUGGACAAUGGGCGCAAGCCUGAUCCAGCCAUACCGCGUGGGUGAAGAAGGCCUUCGGGUUUUAAAGCCCUUUUGUUGGGAAAGAAAAGCAGCAGGUUAAUACCCCGCUGUUCUGACGGUACCCAAAGAAUAAGCACCGGCUAACUUCGUG
rnacentral:rRNA from 1 species